UGGGGUGUAGUUCAGUGGUAGAAUGCUUGCCUAGCAUGCAUAGGAUCCUUGGUUCCAUCCCUAGCCCUACAA
rnacentral:tRNA from 1 species